rnacentral:rRNA from 1 species
UACGGGGGGAGCAAGCGUUGUUCGGAUUUACUGGGCGUAAAGGGCGCGUAGGCGGUCAGCACAAGUCAGUUGUGAAAUCUCCGGGCUUAACUCGGAAAGGUCAACUGAUACUGUGCGACUAGAGUGCAGAAGGGGCAACUGGAAUUCUCGGUGUAGCGGUGAAAUGCGUAGAUAUCGAGAGGAACACCUGCGGCGAAGGCGGGUCUCUGGGCCAUAACUGACGCUGAGAAGCGAAAGCAUGGGGAGCGAACAGG